rnacentral:sRNA from 1 species
AAAUAUGAAUUGGUGGUGCAGUAUUCUAGUCAAAUACUAAAUCAUUGAAGGCGGGGAUAAAUUAUCGUCAAAGGGCACAUCGAUGAAGUUUCUUGUGCUUCCCUCUGUUGCCCAAACAGGGGGUGGUGCUGGGAGUUAAGAAUUAUGGGUAAGAUUUAAUGGCAUAUUUCCUAUCCCGUUGUUCGUGGAGACUUAAUUUGGUAAGAGUAGUUUUAAGCGAAAUUACUGAUUGAGAUUAAACCUGCUAUGCGGUGAAUAAAAAGCUGUGUACAGAGUAGCCUGCUUUGAGUGAUGUCUUGGGAUUUAAGAACACAAAAUAUUGAGUUGGCCGAUUUGAUAUUGAGAUUGCUUAAUGAAAUUGAUAUUGCAAAAGAAGAUAGAUGAUUUACAAUUUGUUAAGGAAAACUUCUAGACUGUUUUUUAGAGACAAAAUAGGGAUUAUAGUACGGACUUAGUGGCGAUUCAGUUGUGCGUUAGGUGACGACGCAUCCUUGGAUUUAAAAGGAAACUGCUUUUUUCUGGCGACGGAGAGUAUUCGAGGGGGAAAUCCUACUGAACCUUAUGCCGUAAGGUUUACUUAUUUUGUUACCACCAAAUAAAAUUU